UCCCAGAUCCAACGAGCUUUUCUAUGACCGCCCUCGAAGAAAAAAUCGGCUACGAAUUCUUGGGCAAAACAUUGUUAGGUCGCGCACUGACCCACAGCUCAGCAAAUGUUACGAAAUGCCCAUCUCGAGACGGAGAAAACCUGGAGGUUUUAGGGGAUGCAUCCUUGGAUACCGUUGUUUUGGAUCUUCUUCUGGAUCUAAACCCUCGGUAUAACCAAGGACAGCUAUCUGUCUUGAAGUCGGCUAUAACAUGCAACGACAUGCUAGCUGUUAUCGCGGUCAGAACGGGCCUACAUUUGUUACUGCAACAUCGGCUCCCAGCAAAACAAGUAAAAGAACUCGAAAGUUUUGUGGACCAUCAGAACAAAAACCAUCAUUUAUUCUCGCACGAAAAAGAGACCGAGCCUUUGAGAUUGACUAUCCGAAAGUUUACGCCGAUGCGUUUGAGUCUCUCAUUGGCGCGUUGCGUAUAGAUUGCGAUCGAGAAGACAAGGUCAUCAGAAAAGUUGUCUUAAACCUCAUGGGCGACGUGAUAGGUAGUAGAUUAAAAACUAAUUUAUUGAACUUUUAAUAAUUUUUUUUUAAUAGUUAAAUUCCACACAAACAUUCCCGUCUGCCCACUACAACGUGUGAAUAAAAAUAAGAUCAGGACCGAAUUCAAGGAAGAAAAGAACCUUCCAGACGGAACUGUCAACGUCAUAUUGGAAGUAAAGAAUUUUCAAUCCUUCCACGGUUCCGGACAAUCAUUGAAGUCAGCCAAGACUGCUGCAGCAAAGCUUGCUAUAACGACGAUGCCUUGGUGUCCAACCCAAAACCAAGCACAAGGGAGAAAACACAAACGAACUAAAAGUGACCCCUUAUAUGGGCAGCUUUUAGAGAAGGGGCUGGGCACGGAACACGGAGCGUCCCAUCCUAAUUAUAUUGAUCGGAUUAAAUAACAGUUGCCGCUUUAAAUUUUAUCGUGAUAGGCUCUGCCGUUACUGCACACGACAAAAAAACAUGGAUUCCACUUCUCCCCCACGUCCAAUUACUGUUGCUGAGUACAUCGAGAAGAUGUUAGGAUACCGUUUUACGGACGAGAGUUGGUUGCAUAAGGCAAUUCAACAACCGACGGCGAAUGUAAAAAACGCAGCCAAGGAGGCAGGGAAGUUGGACCUGAUUGGCGAUCGUG